rnacentral:lncRNA from 1 species
AUGGUGUGGAUGGCUGGGUGGGUGACAGGUAUCCAGACACCUUCAGAUGCAGAGCAGACAAGUCCCUGCUGCCUCAGUGUCCCCUGCUGGAAUGGGGUGAUCUGUCCUGGGAAACUCACAGCUUCACAUCCAGGCCAGAUGCCCCAAGAACCUGACCUUGCUCACUGCCAGAGCAGCAUUCCCUUCCCAUCCCAUGUGGCUGCCAGGCAUGUGCCAACAGUGCCAAGCCUGUUGUCAUGCUCCAGCAGGAUUAAAUCCUCCAGUAGAAUGGUAGCACACCUGAAAAUGCCACCCUGGACUCCAGCAACUUCAACAGGGCUGAGGAAGAUACACACACAUCCAUUUUCUUUUGAACUCCAUGCCCCAGACAACCCGUGCCUGAUUACAGCUCCUCUCCUGAGGCUGCAUCUCUCCCUCAGCUUUGGCAGUGGCUGGAGCACAGGGAUCUCACCACAGGAACCCUCCCACAGCCAUGCUGACAUCUCUGCCUUUGCUUCUCCUGGAGGUGCUGCAGCCCAGCUCAGCCACACAGGUAAAUGGCACAGUGCUCCUGUUCACCAGCACUGGGAUAUUCUUUGUGGUACUGGAUGCAUGUUCAGGAGCAGUCAUGGGUAG